GAGAGAGAAAAAACUGACCUUGAUUCUGCGUCUGUUGGAAAAAGAGAAAAUUUCCGUUGUCAGUUUGACCUUUACUUUAGUCUGGAAUGAUGUCAUCGUCACCUCUCUAAAUACUUACCUCACGCCUCGUCUCAGAAGGGAAUCUGUAACACACACAAACACACACACAUACGCGCGCGCACACAUACACACACACACACACACACGUACACACACACACACACACACACACACACACACACACACACACACACACACACACACACACACACACACACACACAGUUAAAGGUUGCACAAUCCACCCAACCACACAUUCUGCAGACAAAAUAGUUUGUGUCUGCAAAUGUUCUGGUACGGAAACUACAAAAAGUGCUGUCCAAUCGAACAACCACCAGAGAGUCCUGCUUUUGUUGUGGCUUGCUGCAGAGAGCCGUACAAGUCUCAACAAGUCUCAACCGGUUAGGUUAUCAGCGCACAAACCAGAAAAUGUAAAAUGUGAACAAUGAACCCCUUCCGCGUCCUGCCAACUGUCUGCAUAGGUUCUGCUGUAUUUGUGCUGACCUGCCAGGGAGCGGUUUCACGGAGGUGCUGCGACCCACUGACGCAGAGGAGCCUGGAGGACCCAGCUGAUUCGACCAAGCCGGAGGCUUGGGAGUCCUCUCCUGAGUACUGUUUGGAUGAAACGCACGGAAGGAAGUUGAGGAACGCUUUGAGGAGGAGAUGGGAAACCAGAGGGAGGAUGGAACCACUCACCCGGGACAGGGGAGGGGCUUUCUCCUCUCUCCCGCGUGGGUUUCUUACUCCGCUCCACAAUCGGCGGGCGCGAAGCCACGGGACCCAUCGCUGCCGAACAGAGACGUGACUGCUGGGUGAGUUUCUGAGACCAAUGCAGAGGAAGUGCACACUCUCUGACUGACUGCACACAACGACACAAGAUAGAAUGGAGGAAGACAGCCGCAGCAGCAGCAGCAGCAGCAGGCAGCACAUACUUCACCACAAAGUAGAAGGGCUGAGGGGAACAGACAUCAACCCUCCCGCCCCCUCCAACUUGUGCAGUGGCAGAUGCUGACUGUCUGUGGCGGCAAAAGAUUGAUGAUGGACAAUGGGUUAAGUACUUAGGAUGUUUUUUUCCUUAAGUAAAAGGAUAAAGCAUUCUGGAGCAGAAUGAAGACGUGAAACGCAAUCCGUCAAAUUAAAUAAUAUGAUAUAUAAAAAUAUAAGUAAUAAUAAUAAUAUAGGUAUUUAUUGUAGGACUAUAAAUGCUUUUUAAAGUGUCUUUGAGUGACCCUAUAGGAUUAGGGUUAAUCCUAGCCCUAACACUAACCUUUCAAUUAUUAUUAUUUAUUUAUUUCCAUUCUUUAAUCAUGUGAAAUAUCCAUCACAAAAAAAAGAGUAGAUGGUAAAUGGACUGCAUUUAUAUAGCGCUUUUUGACCAUUUGCCACCCAAAGCGCUUAACAAUAUUGCCUCACAUUCACCAUUCAC